CCUACGGGGUGGCACCAGUGGGGAAUAUUGCACAAUGGGCGCAAGCCUGAUGCAGCAACGCCGCGUGAGGGAAGACGGUCUUCGGAUUGUAAACCUCUGUCCUUGGUGAAGAAACAUGACGGUAGCCAUGGAGGAAGCCACGGCUAACUACGUGCCAGCAGCCGCGGUAAUACGUAGGUGGCAAGCGUUGUCCGGAUUUACUGGGUGUAAAGGGAGCGCAGGCGGGAAAGCAAGUCAGCUGUGAAAACUAUGGGCUUAACCUAUAGACUGCAGUUGAAACUGAUUUUCUUGAGUGGAGUAGAGGUAAGCGGAAUUCCGAGUGUAGCGGUGAAAUGCGUAGAGAUUCGGAGGAACACAGUGGCGAAGGCGGCUUACUGGGCUCUAACUGACGCUGAGGCUCGAAAGUGUGGGGAGCAAACAGGAUUAGAUACCCCCGUAGUC
rnacentral:rRNA from 1 species